CAGACCGGAGGCGAGGCGAGGGUUUUUGCGGGUGGUGCAGAGGCUGGAUGGGGACGGCGGUGCCAGCCCGCACCACACCGCACUUCUCUGCCCACAUCUUUUCAAAUCGGGGACCCUCGCCCCCCUCUUUCACGGAGUGCUGCCAGGGUCAAGGAAUUCGUCUUCCUCGCUGGAGAGGACUUGGGUGAGGAGCUGCUGCCGCCUGAGCUGGGCCCGGACCGGAGACCCACUGCCACCGCUGCUGCCACUGCUGCCACCACUGCUGUGGGGACCGCCCUGAGACCAGGCCAGGAACAGUGCCUUGCUGGCCGCAGGGCCCCCCCUGCCCGCAGACCGCUGAGCAGAGACGACUGGCCGCCCUGAGCGCAAUUCAAUUCAACAGACAUUUACUGAGUGCCUACUAUGCGCCAGGCCUUAGGCUAGGCACUGGGGUGGGGGAGCAGAGAGGAAGAUGGGGCCCCGUCCUCAGGUAGCCCUGGGCUGGGGGGCUUGGAGAAGACAGGCCAGGGCUGAACAGCAGCUCGGAGCCAGGAGACAAGCUGCCUGCAGGGCUGGAAGCAGCAGAGAUACCUGGGUUCCAGUUCAUCCCUGGAGAGCUUCGUCCCUUGUCUGUGCCUCAGUUUGCCCAUCUGUAAAAUAGGGGGGAAGGGGAGGGGUGAGACAGUCUCUAGGGUCCUCCCAGGAUUCCGUGGGGGUGGAGUCAGGGGAUGGGGUAGAGCAGGGAGGCUUGUCACCCCCUGCAGAGGGAGUCUCUGAAAGUUUCUCCCGGCUGCAGAGGGUAGGGAAGUGUGGGAGUGGCACCCCAGGCUCAGAAACAGCUUGACAGAGGCCAGAGGACAUACAGAGGGGCAGCCCUGCAACUCGGUAGGUGGUGAGAGGUCAUGGGGUCUGAGCUUAGAGAGGGAGGGAGGGGCCCAAGGGCUAUACUGGGGGACGAGAGCUCUAUUUUGUGGGCUGUUGAGGAUGGACGUGGAGAACAGAUGGUCCUGCUUUGUCCUGCGCCCUUCUCCUCCCCUCUCCCUGGGAUGCCCUUCAGGGUCACAUUCCCGUAGGAGCGUGUGGCCGUGGUCGUGCCUGCACUGUGCUAGGCCCUUCACACGUAGUCCCCAUUGCAACUCUAACCAACGAGCAUUGAUGGGCCCACUUCACAGGUGAGGCUGCCCAGGCUGAGAGGGAAGCUUUUUCUUCAAAGUCUUUAUCUGACUCUCCAACCCGCCCCCG